UAGGAAAUUAGUCUCUUCGAAUGACUACCCAGACAUUUUUACCGUGUCUUUUUCGCUUUCUCUCUCUUGUUCAUGCUUUCUCUCUCUUCCUUUGAAUUCUCUGAUGCAAAUUUUUUUCUUGUUCUUCGCAAAUCAAAUUCCCUUGAUUUGUUCUUGGAUCUUCGUCUUCUAUUAAAUCUGAACAAGUAGUGAAUAUAAAGGAGAGCUUGCGGAGAUGCUUCAGAAGAAGAAAUUAUCAGGUCUUAGUCUUACUUGUCAAAGUGGGGGAGACUUUAAGCUGAGUAAUUUCUAGAAUUGUGGCUAGUUGGAAAGAUGAUUUGAGGACGUCCAGUCACUUUCAUGUGUUAUUUGCCUACCCGGUUAGCUCCCGUGGGGACAAGUAGAGAGAAGCUUUUAGGUGAUGAAGCAUAUCAAGCAUGAUGGGUUUGAGCGAAGAGGGUUACAUGUUUCUUUAUUUGUUAUUUAUUGUAUUGAAUUAUUUAUGUAAUUGUGGACACUAACAUUAGUUAAUGUUUAUAUUUACUUUGGUUUUAAAAGGGCCUUUAAUGGUUCCAAGUUAUUGUUGUAGUGUAAGUUGGUUUUAAAAUUUGAUUUGAUUUUAUUAAACUUUAUUUCAUUUGAGUUUUUAAAAGAUAGUCUUAUGCUGUGUGUCUUUGAUAUUUGCCUUAACCGUUUUCACGGUGGAGGUAAUGUCCUAGAUUUUCCUUUUUCGUAUUUUAAAAAGGGCAAAAUGGGUAUUUUAAAGAAAAGGAAUUUCUAGUGUGUUACAAAGUGGUAUCUAGGAGCUUUGGUUUGAGAUUUUUUAUUACUACUAAAACCAAAAACGUGUGUUAAAAUGUUUUGUUUUCAACUUGGCCAAGUGUUAUUUAAUUAAGUAUUUUAAAAAGAGAGUUAUUUUCACUUAUUUUAAUUUUUGGAUAACCGAAAAUUUA